GGGUUUGCUAUGCUGUGGUGCAGCGCGAACGACUGCAUUUCUCAACUGCACUGUGUGUAGCUGAAGUUGCGUAAUAAAUGUGCUACGUGACAAAUUACACUGACGAUACCUUCUACACCAGCGGUAUUUUCGUUGAUUCGCGUUUCAUAAAACCCAAAAUAAGUUUCAGCGAGUGUGGAAUGGCAGUUUCGUGUGUACUUCGGAUGGUUCCUGAAUAACACCGCCUGCCAACAAUGGCUCCUCUGCGCUCCAGUUUCUCUCUUGGGUGCAGAGUAGCGGCGUCCAUCAAACAAAUGACGCGAGCAGUACUGUGCAGGAAAUUGUAAAUGGGUUGAUGAAGUUUCUAAAUUAGUGGAGGAAUAUAAUAACACAAGACACUCAACAAUAGAAAUGAGAAUCUAAAUACAAAUUUUAUGACGAAAUAAGGAUAUGUAAAUUGGAAGGAUGUUUUGGAAAAGCAUAUACAGCAAAAGUGUCAACAAAAAUUUUAGAAAUUGAAGAUGUUAUUCAUUCUUAUCCAAUCACAUACAAAUUAAAAGAUUUAAAUGGCAAACACAUAAAAGGGUGUGAUGGCGGUGAGGGAGUGCCCGGGCUUAGGAUUGAUCCGACGCGAGAAGCUUUUGUACGAAAUUGAAAUUCGUGGGACUGACAAGGAGGGUACAGUUCUAGAGCUGGCCGCGUGUUAACGAGAUUCCUGGCAGCGGCCUGUUGUUGUUACUAAGGAAGUCAUUGGUGGUCUGCCAGCCGGCGUAGCCGCGGCCGUUGAGGUGGUGGGUGAGUUUGAAAAGUUUCUUAGUUGGUUUUCAGUAGAUCAGCCUAAAUGGAAACAACUUACUAGAUUAUGUGCACAUUUGGUGCAUAUU